UGAUGGUGUCACACACAAUGCUGGGAGAUGUCAUCACGUGGUACCUCCUUCUGUGAUGUCAUUACCCAGCACCACGAUGUCUGUCU
rnacentral:pre_miRNA from 1 species